GACGUAGGGCGCGAGCGUUGUCCGGAUUUAUUGGGCGUAAAGAGCUCGUAGGCGGCUUGUUACGUCGUUCGUGAAAACUUGGGGCUCAACUCCAAGCUUGCGGUCGAUACGGGCAGGCUAGAGUUCGGUAGGGAAGACUGGAAUUCCUGGUGUAGCGGUGAAAUGCGCAGAUAUCAGGAGGAACACCGGUGGCGAAGGCGGGUCUCUGGGCCGAUACUGACGCUGAGGAGCGAAAGCGUGGGGAGCGAACAGG
rnacentral:rRNA from 1 species